AGUUAAAUCCAAAUAUGUAUCUUGAAAAUACACAAUAAAAUUAAAUUUUUAUUAACUU
rnacentral:tRNA from 1 species